rnacentral:rRNA from 1 species
AUACGUAGGUGACAAGCGUUAUCCGGAUUUACUGGGCGUAAAGGGCGUGUAGGCGGUCUUGCAAGUCAGUAGUGAAAUUCCCGGGCUUAACUUGGGCGCUGCUUCUGAAACUGCUUUACUUGAGUGCUGGAGAGGAUAGUGGAAUUCCUAGUGUAGCGGUAAAAUGCGCAGAUAUUAGGAGGAACACCGGUGGCGAAGGCGGCUAUCUGGACAGUAACUGACGCUGAGGCGCGAAAGCACGGGGAGCAAACAGGAUUAGAUACCCUGGUAGUCCGUGCCGUAAACGAUGAAUACUAGGUGUAGGGGGUAUCGACUCCCUCUGUGCCGCAGUUAACACAUUAAGUAUUCCACCUGGGGAGUACGGCCGCAAGGUUGAAACUCAAAGGAAUUGACGGGG